rnacentral:rRNA from 1 species
GCGAACGCUGGCGGCAGGCCUAACACAUGCAAGUCGAGCGGCCGUAGCAAUACGGCAGCGGCAGACGGGAGAGUAACACGUGGGAACGCGCCCUUUGGUUCGGAAUAACUCAGGGAAACUUGAGCUAAUACCGGAUAAGCCCUUACGGGGAAAGAUUUAUCGCCAUAUGGAGGGGUCUGCGUCGGAUUAGCUUGUUGGUGGGGUAACGGCCUACCAAGGCGACGAUCCGUAGCUGGUCUGAGAGGAUGAUCAGCCACACUGGGACUGAGACACGGCCCAGACUCCUACGGGAGGCAGCAGUGGGGAAUAUUGCGCAAUGGGGGAAACCCUGACGCAGCGACGCCGCGUGGGUGAAGAAGGCCUUAGGGUUGUAAAGCCCUUUCAGUGGGAAAGAUUGUGACGGUACCCACAGAAGAAGCUCCGGCUAACUCCGU